UGAGUAACGCGUAAUCAACCUGCCCUUCAGAGCCUGACAACAGUUGGAAACGACUGCUAAUACCGCAUACGAUCCAAUCUCGGCAUCGAGACUGGAUGAAAGGUGGCCUCUAUUUAUAAGCUAUCACUGAAGGAGGGGAUUGCGUCUGAUUAGCUAGUUGGAGGGGUAACGGCCCACCAAGGCGAUGAUCAGUAGCCGGUCUGAGAGGAUGAACGGCCACAUUGGGACUGAGACACGGCCCAGACUCCUACGGGAGGCAGCAGUGGGGAAUCUUCCGCAAUGGACGAAAGUCUGACGGAGCAACGCCGCGUGAGUGAUGACGGCCUUCGGGUUGUAAAGCUCUGUUAAUCGGGACGAAUGGUUCUUGUGUGAAUAGUGCGAGGAUUUGACGGUACCGGAAUAGAAAGCCACGGCUAACUACGUGCCAGCAGCCGCGGUAAUACGUAGGUGGCAAGCGUUGUCCGGAAUUAUUGGGCGUAAAGCGCGCGCAGGCGGAUUGGUCAGUCUGUCUUAAAAGUUCGGGGCUUAACCCCGUGAUGGGAUGGAAACUGCCAAUCUAGAGUAUCGGAGAGGAAAGUGGAAUUCCUAGUGUAGCGGUGAAAUGCGUAGAUAUUAGGAAGAACACCAGUGGCGAAGGCGACUUUCUG
rnacentral:rRNA from 1 species